rnacentral:rRNA from 1 species
GUGUUCAAGUUUUUAAGGGCACACGGUGGAUGCCUUGGCAUCAGGAGCCGAUGAAGGACGUGGGAGCCUGCGAUAUGCCCCGGGGAGUUGGCAACCGAGCGUUGAUCCGGGGGUUUCCGAAUGGGGUAACCCAGCACCCGUCAUGGGGUGUUGCCGCCGUCUGAAUUGAUAGGGCGGUUGGUGGUAACGCGGGGAAGUGAAACAUCUCAGUACCCGCAGGAAGAGAAAACAACAGUGAUUCCCUGAGUAGUGGUGAGCGAAAGGGGAUGAGGCUAAACCAUGCGCGUGUGAUAGCCGGCGGGCGUUGCGUGUGUGGGGUUGUGGGAGCAUCUGUAUCUGGUCCGCCUGGCCGGAUGUGAAGUUAUAAAACGGUUGGGUAACCGAACGGCCUGGAAUGGUCGACCGUAGUCGGUGAUAGUCCGGUAGGUUAAACCUUUCCGUCUUCAUAUGGUGUUUCCCGAGUAGCACGGGGCCCGUGAAAUCUCGUGUGAAUCUGCCAGGACCACCUGGUAAGCCUAAAUACUCCCUGAUGACCGAUAGCGGACUAGUACCGUGAGGGAAAGGUGAAAAGCACCCCGGUGAGGGGGCGUGAAAUAGUACCUGAAACCGUGUGCCUACAAGCCGUCAGAGCGUUAACACCCUUUCGGGGGUGUUGUGAUGUGAUGGCGUGCCUUUUGAAGAAUGAGCCUGCGAGUUAUGGUGUGUGGCGAGGUUAACCCGUGUGGGGGAGCCGUAGCGAAAGCGAGUCUGAAUAGGGCGUUUUUAGUCGCAUGCUGUAGACCCGAAGCGGAGUGAUCUACCCAUGGGCAGGUUGAAGCGCGGGUAAGACCGUGUGGAGGACCGAACCCACCAGGGUUGAAAACCUGGGGGAUGACCUGUGGGUAGGGGUGAAAGGCCAAUCAAACUCCGUGAUAGCUGGUUCUCCCCGAAAUGCAUUUAGGUGCAGCGUCACGUGUUUCUUGCCGGAGGUAGAGCUACUGGAUGGCCUAGGGGGCCUACAAGCUUACUGAAGUCAGCCAAACUCCGAAUGCCGGUAAGUGAGAGCGUGGCAGUGAGACUGCGGGCGAUAAGGUUCGUAGUCGAGAGGGAAACAGCCCAGAUCAUCGGCUAAGGCCCCUAAGCGUGUGCUAAGUGGUAAAGGAUGUGGAGUUGCCGUGACAACCAGGAGGUUGGCUUAGAAGCAGCCACCCUUGAAAGAGUGCGUAAUAGCUCACUGGUCAAGUGAUUCCGCGCCGACAAUGUAGCGGGGCUCAAGCACACCGCCGAAGCCGUGGCACUCCAACACGUCCCUAGUGAGGGUUUUCGGAUCCUUGUUCAGGGGUUGGGGUGGGUAGGGGAGCGUCGUGUGGGCGGUGAAGCGGCGGCGUGAGCCAGCCGUGGAGGCCACACGAGUGAGAAUGCAGGCAUGAGUAGCGAAUGAGGGGUGAGAAACCCCUCCGCCGGAUGACCAAGGGUUCCUGGGGCAGGCUAAUCCGCCCAGGGUAAGUCGGGACCUAAGGCGAGGCCGAGAGGCGUAGUCGAUGGACAACGGGUUGAUAUUCCCGUACCCGCUGACACGCGCCCAUGCUGAACCCACUGACACUAACGCCGCAAGCUCACCUUGUAACCUUCGGGUUGUUUGGUGGGGGAGCUGCGGACCUGAGGUGGUAGUAGGCAAGUGAUGAGGUGACGCAGGAGGGUAGCUCAACCCAGGCGAUGGUUGUUCCUGGGGUAAGCAUGUAGCCCGGUGUGUAGGCAAAUCCGCACACCAUUAAGGGUGAGAUGUGAUGCCGAGCCGAUUUAGGUGAAGUGAGUGAUCCCAUGCUGCCGAGAAAAGCCUCUAGCGAUGUGUGUCGGCGGCCCGUACCCCAAACCGACUCAGGUGGUCAGGUAGAGAAUACCAAGGCGAUCGGGUGAACUGUGGUUAAGGAACUCGGCAAAUUGCCCCCGUAACUUUGGGAGAAGGGGGGCCCCUGCUGGUGACCAGACUAGCUCUGUGGAGCUGGUGGGGGUCGCAGAUACCAGGGGGAAGCGACUGUUUACUAAAAACACAGGUCCGUGCGAAGUCGUAAGACGCUGUAUACGGACUGACGCCUGCCCGGUGCUGGAACGUUAAGGGGACCGGUUAAUCCGCUUCGGCGGGUGAAGCUGAGAACCUAAGCGCCAGUAAACGGCGGUGGUAACUAUAACCAUCCUAAGGUAGCGAAAUUCCUUGUCGGGUAAGUUCCGACCUGCACGAAUGGCGUAACGACUUCCCCACUGUCUCAACCACAGGCCCGGUGAAAUUGCACUACGAGUAAAGAUGCUCGUUACGCGCAGCAGGACGGAAAGACCCCGGGACCUUCACUACAGCUUGGCAUUGGCGUUUGGAGCGUCUUGUGUAGGAUAGGUGGGAGACUAUGAAGCUCAUACGCCAGUAUGGGUGGAGUCAUUGGUGAAAUACCACUCUGGUCGUUUCGAGCGUCUAACCCGCACCCGUGAAUCCGGGUGGGGGACAGUGCCUGGUGGGUAGUUUAACUGGGGCGGUUGCCUCCCAAAAUGUAACGGAGGCGCCCAAAGGUUCCCUCAGCCUGGUUGGCAAUCAGGUGUUGAGUGCAAGGGCACAAGGGAGCUUGACUGUGAGACAGACAUGUCGAGCAGGUGCGAAAGCAGGGCCUAGUGAUCCGGCACCGACGUGUGGAAGUGGUGUCGCUCAACGGCUAAAAGGUACCCCGGGGAUAACAGGCUGAUCUUGCCCAAGAGUCCAUAUCGACGGCAAGGUUUGGCACCUCGAUGUCGGCUCGUCGCAUCCUGGGGCUGGAGUAGGUCCCAAGGGUUGGGCUGUUCGCCCAUUAAAGCGGCACGCGAGCUGGGUUUAGAACGUCGCGAGACAGUUCGGUCCCUAUCCGCUGUGCGCGCAGGAGACUUGCGAGGGUCUGUCCCUAGUACGAGAGGACCGGGACGGACGAACCUCUGGUGUGCCAGUUGUACCGCCAGGUGCAUGGCUGGUUGGCUACGUUCGGUCGGGAUAACCGCUGAAAGCAUCUAAGCGGGAAGCCUUCCUCAAGAUGAGGUCUCCCAACCUACGGGUUGUAAGGCCCCCAGCUAGACGACUGGGUUGAUAGGCCAGAAAUGGACGCACCGCAAGGUGUGGAGUUGACUGGUACUAAUAGGCCGAGCGGCUUGAACAC